rnacentral:rRNA from 1 species
CCUACGGGCCGCAGCAGUGGGGAAUAUUGCACAAUGGGCGCAAGCCUGAUGCAGCCAUGCCGCGUGUGUGAAGAAGGCCUUCGGGUUGUAAGGCACUUUCAGCGGGGAGGAAGGCGAUAAGGUUAAUAACCUUGUCGAUUGACGUUACCCGCAGAAGAAGCACCGGCUAACUCCGUGCCAGCAGCCGCGGUAAUACGGAGGGUGCAAGCGUUAAUCGGAAUUACUGGGCGUAAAGCGCACGCAGGCGGUCUGUCAAGUCGGAUGUGAAAUCCCCGGGCUCAACCUGGGAACUGCAUUCGAAACUGGCAGGCUAGAGUCUUGUAGAGGGGGGUAGAAUUCCAGGUGUAGCGGUGAAAUGCGUAGAGAUCUGGAGGAAUACCGGUGGCGAAGGCGGCCCCCUGGACAACGACUGACGCUCAGGUGCGAAAGCGUGGGGAGCAAACAGGAUUAGAUACCCUAGUAGUC